rnacentral:rRNA from 1 species
GUAAGGAAUAUUGGACAAUGGGCGCAAGCCUGAUCCAGCCAUGCCGCGUGCAGGAUGAAAGUGCUAUGCACUGUAAACUGCUUUUGUUUGGGAAAAAACCCCUGGUUUCUACCGGGGCUGAUUGUACCAAAAGAAUAAGGGACGGCUAACUUCGUGCCAGCAGCCGCGGUAAUACGAAGGUCCCAAGCGUUAUCCGGAUUUAUUGGGUUUAAAGGGUGCGUAGGCGGGCUAUUAAGUCAGUGGUGAAAGCCCCAAGCUUAACUUGGGAACUGCCAUUGAUACUGAUGGUCUUGAGUACAUUUGAGGUGGGCGGAAUGUGUCAUGUAGCGGUGAAAUGCUUAGAUAUGACACAGAACACCGAUUGCGAAGGCAGCUCACUAAACUGUAACUGACGCUGAGGCACGAAAGCGUGGGGAGCAAACAGGAUUAGAUACCCGAGUAGUCC